AUUGAACGCUGGCGGCAUGCUUUACACAUGCAAGUCGAACGGCAGCACGGGUGCUUGCAUCUGGUGGCGAGUGGCGGACGGGUGAGUAAUACAUCGGAACGUGUCCAGAAGAGGGGGAUAACGCAUCGAAAGAUGUGCUAAUACCGCAUAUACUCUAAGGAGGAAAGCAGGGGAUCGAAAGACCUUGCGCUUUUGGAGCGGCCGAUGUCUGAUUAGCUAGUUGGUGGGGUAAUGGCCUACCAAGGCGACGAUCAGUAGUUGGUCUGAGAGGACGACCAGCCACACUGGGACUGAGACACGGCCCAGACUCCUACGGGAGGCAGCAGUGGGGAAUUUUGGACAAUGGGCGCAAGCCUGAUCCAGCCAUGCCGCGUGAGUGAUGAAGGCCCUAGGGUGUAAAGCUCUUUCACCGGGAAGAUAAUGACGGUACCCGGAGAAGAAGCCCCGGCUAACUACGUGCCAGCAGCCGCGGU
rnacentral:rRNA from 1 species